rnacentral:lncRNA from 1 species
GGUUCCAUACUGGUUCCAUGGAUCGGCUCCAUGACACGUCAUAUUCUACCACGGCCCACCAUUCCCACUGUGAAGCUUAUAUGUGCGUGUUUGCGAUGGUUCAUUGAUUGACGUGUUUUUGUGUUUUUUUUUUGUUUUUUUUUCAGGUGGUAACCGAAGAUCCAAACGUCAUAACGUUCCGGAUCAGCCAGGUAGGCGGCGCCAGUGUCGCCGAGGUGUUCUGGGGCUCUGUGCUGCUGGCGGCUCCCGUCCUCUGCUCGCUGCUCCUGUUGCUCUACCCAGACUCCACCGCGCCGGGCCGGGACCAGCAUUGACUCACGAGUCUACUGAGUCAUAUGGAGUCCUGUCGAGUCAUCCAGAGUCAACGGAGUCAUGGGAGUGACCAUGAAUCCUGGCGAGUCAUCCGUAGUCAACGGAAACAUGCAGAGUCACCUACUGUUUUAAUAAUGCAUCUGGAGUCAACAGAGUGACAUGACUCAACUGAGUCACCUGACUGGGCCACAUCCAGAUUAUGACCGAGUCGGUGGCAGUGAUCAGUGAGACAAAGAGGGACGGAAUUGUGCCAGAGUGCGGCACAAACAGCUGACUGCUGAUGUGUGACGUCACAGUCUCUCACGCAGACAGAUAGUUUUGUUUGACAUUGCGGGAGGGGAUAUACGUGUUCACACAUUCCAAACUAGUGGGUGUCUGUGUCAGGGAUAUUAUUAGAAAUGGCUGACUAUAAAUAUCGUCAGUUCUGAGAUGAUGUAUUGAUUUCUCGGUCACACAUUCCAAACUAGCGUCUGUCUAGAGACAUUCCUAGAAUUAUCUGGCUGUAAAUGUCGUCAUUUCUGAGACAAUAUAUUCGUUUAUCAGUCACACAU